rnacentral:rRNA from 1 species
UACAGAGGUCUCAAGCGUUGUUCGGAUUUCCUGGGCGUAAAGGGCGCGUAGGCGGCAUGACAAGUCACUUGUGAAAUCUCCGGGCUUAACUCGGAACGGCCAAGUGAAACUGUCAAGCUAGAGUGCAGAAGGGGCAAUCGGAAUUCUUGGUGUAGCGGUGAAAUGCGUAGAUAUCAAGAGGAACACCUGAGGUGAAGACGGGUUGCUGGGCUGACACUGACGCUGAGGCGCGAAAGCCAGGGGAGCAAACGGG